GAACAAACAAAAGAGAACGAAUAAUUGUGCUUUCAGCAACGAUAAAUUAAAAGAGCAUGCAGGGUCAUCCAAAUGGAAAUACAGCAAAUAACGAGAACGUUUCUGGCAAUGACCACCAGUGAAAAAGUUCUGACAGCGUAGUUAAUAUGAUUGCAGCGGAACAGAACCCGAAGGAAAGUAUUGCUAUCUGGUUUGAAACAAGUUUUGGUUUGAUUGGAGCCUAUGGAAGCAUCAGGAAGGAAUUGUUUAAU